UACGGGGGGGGUAAGCGUUGUUCGGAAUUACUGGGCGUAAAGGGCUCGUAGGCGGCCAACUAAGUCAGACGUGAAAUCCCUCAGCUUAACUGGGGAACUGCGUCUGAUACUGGAUGGCUUGGAUUCGGGAGAGGAAUGCGGAAUUCCAGGUGUAGCGGUGAAAUGCGUAGAUAUCUGGAGGAACACCGGUGGCGAAGGCGGCAUUCUGGACCGAUAUUGACGCUGAGGAGCGAAAGCCAGAGGAGCAAACGGG
rnacentral:rRNA from 1 species